CAAAGGGACCACACCAAAAAUGAUUAACAAUAUAGGCAAACCAGAACCCAAUGAAAAAGACAUUUACACAACACUUUAAUAAUGGGGGACCACAUGCCAACCGAAAACGAAACAUUAUACAACAUGCAACAUUAUCGGACAAGCAUAAAAGGAAAAAAUCUUAAAAAACUUCAAUGAAAAGCAAAUUUACUAACCUUUCUCCACGAACACUUUCACUACGAACACUUUUGCCACUGUCUUCCACGUGCUUCACCGACAAUACCUUCUCGAUUCCCCCAAAAAUAGCACCGAUUGAUCACUCAGAAAUGUUAAAAAGAAACCAAUUUACUCACCAAUUAUUCCAAAUACCAACUAUCUACCCAAUUGUCCCCCAAAGUCCAACCAUAAACCCAACCCUCGAGAAAACCCUAUUCUCCCAAUUAUCCCCAAUUAUCACCCAGUUAGAGUUAUUCUCCCCAAUUAUCCCCAGGUCAGACUUACCUAAACACUAAUCACCUCUUUUUUUUUUUUUUAAUUGAAACGUGCGUUUUGAUAUGAAGUAAUCAAUUUUAAAUAUAAAAAUGAUGAAAAGCCAUGUAACAUGACCAACGUCUGCCACGUCAAGAACACUUCAUCUUGUCACCAACCCACGUUUCAAUUUUUGUAACGCC
rnacentral:lncRNA from 1 species